UACGUAGGGUGCAAGCGUUAAUCGGAAUUACUGGGCGUAAAGCGUGCGCAGGCGGCUUUGCAAGACAGAUGUGAAAUCCCCGGGCUCAACCUGGGAACUGCAUUUGUGACUGCAUGGCUGGAGUGCGGCAGAGGGGGGAUGGAAUUCCGCGUGUAGCAGUGAAAUGCGUAGAUAUGCGGAGGAACACCGAUGGCGAAGGCAAUCCCCUGGGCCUGCACUGACGCUCAUGCACGAAAGCGUGGGGAGCAAACAGG
rnacentral:rRNA from 1 species